rnacentral:rRNA from 1 species
UGGGGAAUCUUGGACAAUGGGGGCAACCCUGAUCCAGCCAUGCCGCGUGGGUGAUGAAGGCCUUAGGGUCGUAAAGCCCUUUCGCCGGGGAAGAUAAUGACGGUACCCGGUAAAGAAGCCCCGGCUAACUCCGUGCCAGCAGCCGCGGUAAUACGGAGGGGGCUAGCGUUGUUCGGAAUGACUGGGCGUAAAGCGCGCGUAGGCGGAUCGGAAAGUUGGGGGUGAAAUCCUGGGGCUCAACCUCGGAAUGGCCUUCAAAACUCCCGGUCUUGAGUUCGAGAGAGGUGAGUGGAAUUCCGAGUGUAGAGGUGAAAUUCGUAGAUAUUCGGAGGAACACCAGUGGCGAAGGCGGCUCACUGGCUCGACACUGACGCUGGGGUGCGAAAGCGUGGGGAGCAAACAGGAUUAGAUACCCUGGUAGUCCACGCCGUAAAACGAUGAAUGCCAGACGUCGGGGGGCUUGCCCUUCGGUGUCACACCUAACGGAUUAAGCAUUCCGCCUGGGGGAGUACGGUCGCAAAGAUUAAAACUUAAAUGAAUUGACGGGGUCAUAGCUGUUUCC